rnacentral:rRNA from 1 species
UCCCAGACUCCUACGGGAGGCAGCAGUGGGGAAUAUUGCACAAUGGGGGGAACCCUGAUGCAGCGACGCCGCGUGAGUGAAGAAGUAUUUCGGUAUGUAAAGCUCUGUCAGCAGGGAAGAAGAAAGACGGUACCUGACCAAGAAGCCCCGGCUAACUACGUGCCAGCAGCCGCGGUAAUACGGAGGAUGCGAGCGUUAUCCGGAUUUAUUGGGUUUAAAGGGUGCGUAGGCGGUCCGUUAAGUCAGCGGUAAAAUUGCGGGGCUCACCCCUGCCGAGCCGUUGAAACUGGCAGACUUGAGUUGGCGAGAAGUACGCGGAAUGCGCGGUGUAGCGGUGAAAUGCAUAGAUAUCAGGAGGAACACCGGUGGCGAAGGCGGCCUGCUGGACUGCAACUGACGUUGAGGCCCGAAAGCGUGGGGAGCAAACAGGAUUAGAUACCCGGGUAAUG